rnacentral:rRNA from 1 species
UACAGAGGGGGCAAGCGUUAUUCGGAAUUAUUGGGCGUAAAGGGCGCGUAGGUGGCUUGGCAAGUGGAAGGUGAAAUCCCUCGGCUUAACCGAGGAACUGCCCUCCAAACUGCUUCGCUUGAGACCGGGAGAGGUGAGUGGAAUUCCCAGUGUAGCGGUGAAAUGCGUAAAUAUUGGGAGGAACACCAGUGGCGAAGGCGGCUCACUGGACCGGUACUGACGCUGAUGCGCGAAAGCGUGGGGAGCAAACGGG